UACGGGAGGCAGCAGUGGGGGAUAUUGCACAAUGGGGGGAACCCUGAUGCAGCGACGCCGCGUGGAGGAAGAAGUAUUUCGGUAUGUAAACUCCUAUCAGCAGGGAAGAAAACGACGGUACCUGACUAAGAAGCCCCGGCUAACUACGUGCCAGCAGCCGCGGUAAU
rnacentral:rRNA from 1 species